rnacentral:lncRNA from 1 species
CCUCUCUUCUCCCUUCGAGUUCCAAUGCCCAAAGUUUGAGCAUCCUCCAUCUUCCAUGCCAAAAGGAGCUUGGGCGUCUCCUUUUACUUUCUAGUUUUUAGUUCUUGAUUAUCUCAUAAUCAAGAAAAGAAAAAUAAGAGAAGAAGAAGAUCAAGAAAAUGAUCAAAAAGUUGAUCGCGAUCCAGACUUUGUCCAGAUUCGCAGGCUGAUUUUUUUUAGAGAAGAAAGAUCAACACUAAAGAGGAUUGUUUCAGACUGAUCUUAAGUGGAUACCUAUAGAGCCCAGGCACUUACACAGCUAAGAGAGAACUUACUCUCUUCUAUAUCUAGAUUUGAAGAAAGAAUUUAUGAAAUAGAUAUAUGAUUCGAUCACAUA